rnacentral:rRNA from 1 species
UCGGUAUAACUUGAUUUAAUAUUUAUAUUAUUUUUAUUUUUAAGUUUUUAUUUUAUUUUGGGGAAUUAAUUUUUUGUUAUUGUAUUUAUUAAUGAUUUAAUUUUUUAAGUUAUGGGGAUUUUGUACUGUAAGGGAUAUUAGGAAUUAUUAUUUUUCAAUAAGUUGAUUUUAUUUAUUGUAUCUUGUGUAUCAGAGUAUAUUAAAUUUUUUUUAUUUAUUUUAAAAUUCUCGAUUUUAGGGGAGUUAAUUAAUAAUUUUAUUUAUUGUGGUAUAAUUAUUAAUAAUUAUUAAUUGGUAGUGAUAUGUUAUUCGUUCUUAAAUAUAUCUAGUUUCUUAAGAAAUAAAUUAAAUUUAUGAAUUGAUUUAUUUAUUAAUUUUUAUUUUUAAAAUUAAUUUGAGUUAAUUUAAAUUUUUAAAGGGAUUAGCUUUUAAAAAGAUUUUUAUAAUUUUGUUUUUUAUUAAUUUAUGUUGGUUUAAUAAUAAUUAUUUUUUUGAGUAUGUUGAAAUUUUAUUUUAUUGAUUAUUUAAUUUUUAUUUUGUUUAAUUUUUUAUUGAGAUAUUUAAUUUAAUUAUUAAUUUAUUGUAAUAAUGAUGUAAUUAGUAUAAAUUAUUUAUUGUUAAUGUAUAUUUUAUGAUUAAUAUUAUUAUGGGGAAUUAGGCAAUAAAUUUUAUAUUCGCCUGUUUAUCAAAAACAUCUCUUUAUUUAUUUUUAUAUAAGGUUUGGCCUGCCCACUGAUAUUUUGAAGGGCCGCGGUAAUUUGACCGUGCAAAGGUAGCAUAAUCAUUAGUCUUUUAAUUAGGGGCUGGAAUGAAUGGUUGGACGAAAUAUAUACUAUCUUAUUUUAAUUACAAUUAAAAUUUAAUUUUUAGGUUAAAAAGCUUAAAUUUUUUUAUGGGACGAGAAGACCCUAUAGAAUUUAAUAUUUAAAUUUUUUAAUAUUUUGUUUAUUAUUGUUUUAAUGUUGAAAUAUUUUGUUGGGGUGAUGGGAAGAUAUAAUAAACUCUUUUUUUUGUUUAAUAUUUAAUUAAUAUUUAUAUGAUCCAUUUUUAGUGAUUGAAAGAUUAAAUUACCUUAGGGAUAACAGCGUAAUCUUUUUGGAGAGUUCAAAUCGAUAAAGGGGAUUGCGACCUCGAUGUUGGAUUAAGAUAAAACAUUAGGUGCAGAUGCUUAAAUGGUUAAGUCUGUUCGACUUAUAAAAUCUUACAUGAUCUGAGUUCAAACCGGUGUGAGCCAGGUUGGUUUCUAUCUAUAAUCAAAGAAAAUAUUUUAGUACGAGAGGACCAAAUAUUAUAAAUAAUUUUUAUUAUAUUAGUUGCUAAUAUGGCAGAUAAGUGCAAUGGAUUUAGAAUCUAUAAAUAUAUAAUUUUGG